CUCCCGCCCACUGCACCCCCACUCAUCACGCUGCGUCCUUUGUCCUACGUCCAAAGCCCAUUUUUUUCAUACUUCUGGGUCUCUUUAAACACUGACUCCCCGGCCGAAACAAAAACAAAAACAAUGUCUCCUCAUCUCGUCCAGGGCCAGGCCUAUGCAUCCCUUCCUCUAUUUCGUAAACGUUCCGUGAGCUCCGUGAUGACGCCAGCCUCGUGGCUCGGGGUGACACUGCGUGGCACGGACUCCUUCCUAAGGACGUCCACUCACUCCUAGCGCAGAGUGCCUGGAAGCACUGUGUCCCGCUGGCCAGCCUCCUCAUCUUCCUCUCCCUCCCACACUCUCCAUCCAGGACCAGGACACACCCACUUGCUCCUUUCAGGGGCUCCUCUCUGAUUGGCGACAGCCCGCUGUGCCUUGCUUCUCACCCCACCUGCCAUCCAGGAAACCUUCUUCGGGACAUUUGAUGAGCGCUGCUUCUCCCAAGUCCUGUCAGAGCCCUAAAUCUUCUUCGGAAUGAGGAUGACAGUUCUAAUUUUACAAUUGCUUGUUGGUUUCUUUGCUUAAUGUAAGCUUCUUCCACAAUGUGGUAAGGGCAUGUAGAAGAAUCUUUGGGUCAGCUUCCAGAAACCCUCAGGUUCUGAUAAUGUCUGUACACCUUAACAUCAAAAAGCAUUUACGGCACAAAUAACAAAAACGUGAACAAUAGGACAAAGGAGAUGUCCAGGGGUCAAGACAGCAGCAAAGGCCUCAGUUACACCGGAGUGCAGAAGACAGGGAGCUGUGUGUGUCACCCGGCACCCCAAGGAGGACCCCACUCGACAGGAGGCCAGCGAUGACUUACACGGAAACAGUUGCUCCUGACAUUGGAAAAGUCAGACUGACACUGGCCGAGGCACACAAAGAAGGAGAGAGAGUUGGCCGUGCAGAUACCCAGGACAAGAGGAUUAUUCCCAGGCUCCAAGCGAGGCAGGAGCAUGCCCAGCCCCGGGAGGCCUGCGGUCGCACACAAACCAUCCUGCAACUCUCUUUGCGAAGCCAAAGCAGAGGUCAUCUGAGAACAGAGGAACGGAGGCCAGGUUGGAGGAAAGAUGAAAGUUCAUACCAGCGGCCAUGGCGGGCAGGAGAGAGCAUGCAGGGGAUCGACAGCAGGAUUUGUGACAGAAGAGAGCAGACAUGGGAGCUCACGCAUUGGCAACAGCCACACUGCCAGCCCACAGUCCAGUCCCCAGAGCUGUGCGGGCAGAGGUGACCCUAUCCAAAGGGGGAGCAGAGGCCCAGGAACUGGUGCGGGAGUUACUCCUCACCUCACCGAUGCCCUGGGGUGGUGGAAGCGGCAGGCACCUAAUACAAUAGGUGACCCCAGGUACAAGGAGACGAGCUUUCCACCACUCCCAGGGGCUCCCCUGCCCACUUCUGCCUCCUUAGCAGGUCAUACUUCAGUUACCUUAUAAAUUUCGUCACACUUGCUUACGUAGAAGAUUAGCUCGUUUUCUUUUUGAUCACCUUGACAGCUUUGCCCUAUGCCUAACCAAGAGUAGUAGGCACUAAGAAGUAUAUUUGUUGACUUAAAUUUUAUCAUGAAUUAAAUCAUGUGUCACUCAUGC
ensembl:lincRNA